rnacentral:tRNA from 1 species
GUUGUCGUGGCCGAGUGGUUAAGGCGAUAGGCUAGAAAUCUGUUGGGAUCUUCCCGCGCAGGUUCGAAACUUGCCGACAGCG